ACGCUCGACACCUACGGAGGCAGCAGUGGGGAAUAUUGCACAAUGGGGGAAACCCUGAUGCAGCGACGCCGCGUGAGUGAAGAAGUAUUUCGGUAUGUAAAGCUCUAUCAGCAGGGAAGAAGAUGACGGUACCUGAGUAAGAAGCCCCGGCUAACUACGUGUCAGCAGCCGCGGUAAUCUGAGCGGGCUGGCAAGGC
rnacentral:rRNA from 1 species